rnacentral:rRNA from 1 species
CCCGCGACAAGCGGUGGAGUAUGUGGUUUAAUUCGAUGCAACGCGAAGAACCUUACCUGGUCUUGACAUCCCGGAGACCCUUAGGAAACUAGGGGUGCUUCCAUCUGGAAGAAUCUGGAGACAGGUGCUGCAUGGCUGUCGUCAGCUCGUGUCGUGAGAUGUUGGGUUAAGUCCCGCAACGAGCGCAACCCUUGCCUUUAGUUGCCAGCAGUUCGGCUGGGCACUCUAAAGGGACUGCCGGUGUUAAACCGGAGGAAGGUGGGGAUGACGUCAAGUCCUCAUGGCCUUUAUGACCAGGGCUACACACGUACUACAAUGGCCGAUACAAAGGGCAGCGACACUGCGAGGUGAAGCCAAUCCCGUAAAAUCGGUCUCAGUCCGGAUUGGAGUCUGCAACUCGACUCCAUGAAGUUGGAAUCGCUAGUAAUCGUGGAUCAGCAUGCCACGGUGAAUACGUUCCCGGGCCUU